CCUACGGGAGGCUGCAGUGAGGAAUAUUGGUCAAUGGACGAGAGUCUGAACCAGCCAAGUAGCGUGAAGGAUGACUGCCCUAUGGGUUGUAAACUUCUUUUAUAGGGGAAUAAAAUGUGCCACGUGUGGGAUUUUGUAUGUACCAUAUGAAUAAGGAUCGGCUAACUCCGUGCCAGCAGCCGCGGUAAUACGGAGGAUCCGAGCGUUAUCCGGAUUAAUGGGUUUAAAGGGAGAUUAGGUGGAUUGUUAAGUCAGUUGUGAAUGUUUUCGGCUCAACCGUACAAUGGCCGUUGAAACUGGCAUUCUUGAGUCCAGUAGAGGUCUGCGGAAUUCGUGGUGUAGCGGUGAAAUGCUUAGAUAUCACGAAGAACUCCGAUUGC
rnacentral:rRNA from 1 species